UCCAAGUGUUGGCAAGAGUGUGUGGAGC
rnacentral:piRNA from 1 species